rnacentral:sRNA from 1 species
GCUGGGCACGGUGGCGCAUGCCUGUAAUCCCAGCGGCUCGGGAGGCUGAGGCAGGAGGAUCGCAGGUUCAAAGCCAGCCUUAGCAAUGGUGAGAUGCUAAGCAACUCAGUGAGACCCUGUCUCUA